GUCAAGCUUGUUUACCAAUAAGGAGAGGCACAGGUAUGGGACACUUCUGAAGGGUUUGUUUGCCUUCAAACAAACAGCAGACAUCUCCAGGCUUUGUUUUCCACGGCAGAGAUGGCUAAACUCUCUUUUUGGUCCCAGGGGGUGGAGUUGGCUCGCUCUACACGCUGCUUCUCACCCGAGGAUAUCAGUGGAAAAGCCCCAGUCCUGGGCACAGGCAUGGCUGUGGACAUGGGCAUGAGCUUUAUGGGGCUGCCACUAGCUGGCCAGAAACACUGCCCUAAGAAUGGACAGAUGGAGGCCGUGGUCAUGACCUGCUCAUUGUGCUGUCAGGACCUGCCAGGUGUGGGCUCUUAUCUCCUAUCCUGCCAGCAUUUGCUCUGUAAGGACUGCUUCCAGGGCUUGAUACAGGAUCUAGGGCAGAUUGCCAAGGCUCAUGAGACUGUUGCAGAUGGUAAGUACAAAGGCACCACAGGUUCACCUCCCACUACAUAACAGGUCUCUUCCUGUUUCAUAGGAACUGAAUUUCGGGCGUAGAAAGAAUCAGAAUUUAAAUGCCCAAGGGACGCUCAUUGCUGAAAGCAAUCUUUGGGGGAAUCUGUGAGACAGAGUGAAUCCUCUUGAUGCCUAAUAUAUCUGUUUUGUAAGCUGGAA